rnacentral:rRNA from 1 species
CCCUUAGAUGUCCGGGGCCGCACGCGCGCUACACUGAAGGAAUCAGCGUGGCUUUCUCCCUGACCCGAAAGGGUUGGGAAACCCGUUGAAUCUCCUUCGUGAUAGGGAUUGGGGCUUGAAAUUGUUCCCCAUGAGCGAGGAAUUCCCAGUAAGCGCGAGUCAUAAGCUCGCGUUGAUUACGUCCCUGCCCUUUGUACACACCGCCCGUCGCUACUACCGAUUGAACGGUUUAGUGAGGGCCUCGGAUUGGUCUCGGCCCGCUCUUUACCGGGCGGCGCCGUUGGUCGAGAAGACGCUCAAACUUGAUCGUUUAGAGGAAGUAAAAGUCGUAACA